rnacentral:rRNA from 1 species
AACGAACGCUGGCGGCAGGCUUAACACAUGCAAGUCGAACGCGUGUAGCAAUACACGAGUGGCGCACGGGUGAGUAACGCGUGGAUAUCUGCCUUUUGGUUCGGAAUAACCCCGGGAAACUGGGGCUAAUACCGGAUGGUUCCUUCGGGAUAAAGAUUUAUCGCCAAAAGAUGAGUCCGCGUCCGAUUAGCUAGUCGGUGAGGUAAUGGCUCACCAAGGCGACGAUCGGUAGCUGGUCUGAGAGGACGAUCAGCCACACUGGGACUGAGACACGGCCCAGACUCCUACGGGAGGCAGCAGUGGGGAAUAUUGGACAAUGGGGGCAACCCUGAUCCAGCCAUGCCGCGUGAGUGAUGAAGGCCUUCGGGUUGUAAAGCUCUUUUGGCGGGGACGAUGAUGACGGUACCCGCAGAAUAAGCCCCGGCUAACUUCGUGCCAGCCGCCGCAGUAA